GAUGAACGCUGGCGGCGUGCUUAACACAUGCAAGUCGAACGAAGCACGUUAUUUGAUUUCCUUCGGGACUGAUUAUUUUGUGACUGAGUGGCGGACGGGUGAGUAACGCGUGGGUAACCUGCCUUGUACAGGGGGAUAACAGUUGGAAACGGCUGCUAAUACCGCAUAAGCGCACGGCAUCGCAUGAUGCAUUGUGAAAAACUCCGGCGGUAUAAGAUGGACCCGCGUUGGAUUAGCUAGUUGGUGAGGUAACGGCCCACCAAGGCGACGAUCCAUAGCCGACCUGAGAGGGUGACCGGCCACAUUGGGACUGAGACACGGCCCAAACUCCUACGGGAGGCAGCAGUGGGGAAUAUUGCACAAUGGGCGAAAGCCUGAUGCAGCGACGCCGCGUGAGCGAAGAAGUAUUUCGGUAUGUAAAGCUGUAUCAGCAGGGAAGAUAAUGACGGUACCUGACUAAGAAGCACCGGCUAAAUACGUG
rnacentral:rRNA from 1 species